AACGAACGCUGGCGGCAGGCUUAACACAUGCAAGUCGAGCGCCCCGCAAGGGGAGCGGCAGACGGGUGAGUAACACGUGGGAACCUUCCUCGUUGUACGGAACAACUCAGGGAAACUUGAGCUAAUACCGUAUACGUCCGAGAGGAGAAAGAUUUAUCGCAAUGAGACGGGCCCGCGUCGGAUUAGCUAGUUGGUAAGGUAACGGCUUACCAAGGCGACGAUCCGUAGCUGAUCUGAGAGGAUGAUCAGCCACACUGGGACUGAGACACGGCCCAGACUCCUACGGGAGGCAGCAGUGGGGAAUCUUGGACAAUGGGUGCAAGCCUGAUCCAGCCAUGCCGCGUGAGUGAAGAAGGCCUUCGGGUUGUAAAGCUCUUUUGUCAGGGACGAUAAUGACGGUACCUGAAGAAUAAGCCCCGGCAAACUUCGUGCCAGCAGCCGCGGUAA
rnacentral:rRNA from 1 species